UCAUUAGUCAUCGAUGCAGGCUCUCAAUUCAGCUUGAGAGCCUGUUCGCAGGCUAUGUUGAAACUGGCUCGAAAAGAUUAAGUUAAUCAUUCCAUAUUGUCUAAUUUCCCAAGGAUUUAACGCGGCACUUGCCGUGCGAUAGUAACUUCUAGUUUUAGUUGACUCUAUCACGAAGCCGGCGAACGGCUAAGCGUAGUAGAAUGUAUAUUAAAACACGGCUAAGCAUUUUUUAUAUCAAAAUGCGCAUUAAAAUUCCCCUGUACCAAAACUUUCUGC